AGCUCCGGUAGCGUAUAUUAAAAUUGUUGCAGUUAAAAGCUCGUAGUUGGAUUUCUGGUAAGAUACGCCUGACCCGUGUUCGCAAGAGUAUGAGCUGUCGGUGCGAGUCUGCCUUACAAACCGUUAGUGAAUGUUAAGAGGAUUCUGUUUUUAAUGGAAUUUUUAACAAGACCUUGGUAUCAAUUACUUUGAAAAAUGAGAGUGCUUAAAGCAAGCAGUUGUUAUGCAUCUAUUAGCAUGGAAUAAUAUCAUAGGACUUUGAUUCUGUUUUAUUGGUUUAUUGAAUUGAUGUAAUGAUUGAUAGGGAUAGUUGGGGUGUUAGUAUUCGGUGGCCAGAGGUGAAAUUCUUGGAUCCACUGAAGACUGUCUUCUGCGAAAGCAUUCACCAAGGAUAUUUUC
rnacentral:rRNA from 1 species